AUCGCUUCUCAGCCUUUAGGCUAAGAUCAAGUGUAGUAUCUGUUCUUAUCAGUUUAAUAGUUAUCAUAGAAGUUUUGGAUAUUAUUCUUGCUCUCAAGAAACUUA
ensembl:snRNA U2 U2 spliceosomal RNA